UGGGGAAUAUUGGACAAUGGGCGAAAGCCUGAUCCAGCAAUGCCGCGUGAGUGAUGAAGGCCUUAGGGUUGUAAAGCUCUUUUACCCGGGAUGAUAAUGACAGUACCGGGAGAAUAAGCUCCGGCUAACUCCGUGCCAGCAGCCGCGGUAAUACGGAGGGAGCUAGCGUUGUUCGGAAUUACUGGGCGUAAAGCGCACGUAGGCGGCUUUGUAAGUUAGAGGUGAAAGCCUGGAGCUCAACUCCAGAAUUGCCUUUAAGACUGCAUCGCUCGAAUCCAGGAGAGGUGAGUGGAAUUCCGAGUGUAGAGGUGAAAUUCGUAGAUAUUCGGAAGAACACCAGUGGCGAAGGCGGCUCACUGGACUGGUAUUGACGCUGAGGUGCGAAAAGCGUGGGGAGCAAACAGGAUUAGAUACCCUGGUAGUCCACGCCGUAAAACGAUGAUAACUAGCUGUCCGGGAACUUGGUUCUUGGGUGGCGCAGCUAACGCAUUAAGUUAUCCGCCU
rnacentral:rRNA from 1 species